rnacentral:lncRNA from 1 species
AAGCAAAGCAAUCCCUAUCCACCCAUCCUCUGCUCCCUCAUCCCCUCCCGUGCGCCGCCGCCACAAACCUCCGCCCGUUUCGCCCGUUUCGCCCUGAUCUCUCCACCGGACGCGCUCGUCCGCGGCCUCUCGGCGGCCACCACCGGCUACGGCCUCGCGGGGCCAGGCAGAUCCCACGGCUCGCGGGAGUUUCACCCGGAAUUGGAGGAGGCCGAGAACUACGCGUUUCUUGGACGUGAGGUGGAUGAGGCUCGCCACCGGCGUGGAGUGCGUCCACAGCACGGCUGCGGCGGCCGUCGCGCGUUCCUCCCAGAGUCGCGCGACGAGGUCGACGUCACGAUGACGAGCUAUUUCUACCCUUCCGUGCCGUCUCUCUACCCCCUCCGCCUCCACUUGCUGCGGCCGCGCGGGUACCUGCCGAGCAUGGUGUCUCCGACGUCGACCAUCGUGCUGCGAAGGUGCCCUGUUGCAAUUGAAAGCUCAUCAAAGCCGCUCCUUGCUGCUAUGGAGAACUCAACUCCGCUAAUUGCGCAUAUGCCAGGGGUGCCAACGAAACGAGGAGGCUGUCCAAAGCACUCCAACUCCGUCACCGCUUCUGAAGGAGUUCAUCAGUUCAAUCGCUGUGGCUGGGUAGACUGCUUCAGCGAUGAGCUUGGGAAUGAGAUUUUGGGGGUAGGGGGGGCUAACCCCAAGAUUGGGUGGCAGCAGCAGAUACUCAAUCUGGAGGUUUAUUUGAAGAGUAUGGAGCUUGUGCGUGAGCAAAUCAUUACUGCGCUAGAAGAUCUGAGGUCUUCUUCUGUUGUAGAGUGUGGCAUUAGUUUAUGCAUGUAUUAUAACAUUCCGAUUUGUAUUCUUGGAUCUAGCUUAGCUGCAGAUGCACUUAUCAGACAAUUGAAAUGGACCUUUAUCAAAAGCUGUGAUCAUUUCAGAUAUGUUAUACCCUGGCCUUCUCACUACAUGGUAAAUGAAAGCACUGAGCCAACACUUGGAAGAUGCAAUGCAAACUUCCAUGAAGGAAAAUAA